rnacentral:piRNA from 1 species
UCCGUAUUGUUUUAUGAGUUGGUGGU